GACGGAGGGUGCAAGCGUUGUUCGGAAUUACUGGGCGUAAAGCGCGUGUAGGCGGCUUUGCAAGUCGGAUGUGAAAUCCCACGGCUCAACCGUGGAAGUGCAUUCGAAACUGCAAGGCUAGAGUCCUGGAGAGGAAGGUGGAAUGCCUGGUGUAGAGGUGAAAUUCGUAGAUAUCAAGCGGAACACCGGUGGCGAAGGCGGCCUUCUGGACAGUGACUGACGCUGAGACGCGAAAGCGUGGGGAGCAAACAGG
rnacentral:rRNA from 1 species